AGCGAACGCUGGCGGCAGGCUUAACACAUGCAAGUCGAGCGGGCAUAGCAAUAUGUCAGCGGCAGACGGGUGAGUAACGCGUGGGAACGUACCUUUUGGUUCGGAACAACACAGGGAAACUUGCGCUAAUACCGGAUAAGCCCUUACGGGGAAAGAUUUAUCGCCGAAAGAUCGGCCCGCGUCUGAUUAGCUAGUUGGUGAGGUAAUGGCUCACCAAGGCGACGAUCAGUAGCUGGUCUGAGAGGAUGAUCAGCCACAUUGGGACUGAGACACGGCCCAAACUCCUACGGGAGGCAGCAGUGGGGAAUAUUGGACAAUGGGCGCAAGCCUGAUCCAGCCAUGCCGCGUGAGUGAUGAAGGCCCUAGGGUUGUAAAGCUCUUUUGUGCGGGAAGAUAAUGACGGUACCGCAAGAAUAAGCCCCGGCUAACUUCGUGCCAGCAGCCGCCGUAA
rnacentral:rRNA from 1 species